rnacentral:rRNA from 1 species
GACGAACGCUGGCGGCGUGCUUAACACAUGCAAGUCGAACGAUGAACCCGGAGCUUGCUCCGGCGGAUUAGUGGCGAACGGGUGAGUAACACGUGAGUAACCUGCCCUUGACUCUGGGAUAACUGCUAGAAAUGGUAGCUAAUACCGGAUACGACCACUGCCUGCAUGGGUGGUGGUGGAAAGCUUUUGCGGUGUGGGAUGGGCCCGCGGCCUAUCAGCUUGUUGGUGGGGUGAUGGCCGACCAAGGCGACGACGGGUAGCCGGCCUGAGAGGGUGACCGGCCACACUGGGACUGAGAUACGGCCCAGACUCCUACGGGAGGCAGCAGUGGGGAAUAUUGCACAAUGGGCGCAAGCCUGAUGCAGCGACGCCGCGUGAGGGAUGACGGCCUUCGGGUUGUAAACCUCUUUCAGCACCGACGAAGCGCAAGUGACGGUAGGUGCAGAAGAAGGACCGGCCAACUACGUGCCAGCAGCCGCAGUAA